GAUGAACGCUGGCGGCGUGCCUAAUACAUGCAAGUCGAGCGAACGGACGAGAAGCUUGCUUCUCUGAUGUUAGCGGCGGACGGGUGAGUAACACGUGGAUAACCUACCUAUAAGACUGGGAUAACUUCGGGAAACCGGAGCUAAUACCGGAUGAUAUUUUGAACCGCAUGGUUCAAAAGUGAAAGACGGUCUUGCUGUCACUUAUAGAUGGAUCCGCGCUGCAUUAGCUAGUUGGUAAGGUAACGGCUUACCAAGGCAACGAUGCAUAGCCGACCUGAGAGGGGGAUCGGCCAAACUGGAACUGAGACACGGUCCAGACCCCUACGGGAGGCAGCAGUAGGGAUUCUUCCGCAAGGGGCGAAGGCCGGACGGGGCAACGCGGCGGGAGUGAUGAAGGUUUUCGGAUCGUAAACCUCUUUUAUUAGGGAAGAAAAUAUGUGUAAGUAACUGUGCACAUCUUGACGGACCAUAAUCAGAAAGCCACGGCAAACUACGUC
rnacentral:rRNA from 1 species